CACGCCGUAAACGAUGAUUACUGGGUGAAGGGGGUAUCGACUCCCUCUGUGCCGAAGCAAACGCGAUAAGUAAUCCACCUGGGGAGUACGGCCGCAAGGCUAAAACUCAAAGGAAUUGACGGGGGCCCGCACAAGCAGUGGAGUAUGUGGUUUAAUUCGAGGCAACGCGAAGAACCUUACCAGGGUUUGACAUCCAGCGCUAGGGCUAGAGAUAGUUUGUUCUCUUCGGAGACGCUGAGACAGGUGG
rnacentral:rRNA from 1 species